UACGAAGGGGGCUAGCGUUGUUCGGAUUUACUGGGCGUAAAGCGCACGUAGGCGGAUCUUUAAGUCAGAGGUGAAAUCCCAAGGCUCAACCUUGGAACUGCCUUUGAUACUGGGGAUCUCGAGUCCGGGAGAGGUGAGUGGAACUGCGAGUGUAGAGGUGAAAUUCGUAGAUAUUCGCAAGAACACCAGUGGCGAAGGCGGCUCACUGGCCCGGUACUGACGCUGAGGUGCGAAAGCGUGGGGAGCAAACAGG
rnacentral:rRNA from 1 species